rnacentral:rRNA from 1 species
GGAUGAGCCCGCGGCCUAUCAGCUUGUUGGUGAGGUAGUGGCUCACCAAGGCGACGACGGGUAGCCGGCCUGAGAGGGCGACCGGCCACACUGGGACUGAGACACGGCCCAGACUCCUACGGGAGGCAGCAGUGGGGAAUAUUGCACAAUGGGCGAAAGCCUGAUGCAGCGACGCCGCGUGAGGGAUGACGGCCUUCGGGUUGUAAACCUCUUUCAGCAGGGAAGAAGCGAAAGUGACGGUACCUGCAGAAGAAGCGCCGGCUAACUACGUGCCAGCAGCCGCGG